rnacentral:rRNA from 1 species
GAGUUUGAUCUUGGCUCAGGAUGAACGCUGGCGGCGUGCUUAACACAUGCAGUCGAACGAAGCGCCUUAUUUGAUUUUCUUCGGAACUGAAGAUUUGGUGACUGAGUGGCGGACGGGUGAGUAACGCGUGGGUAACCUGCCCUGUACAGGGGGAUAACAAUCAGAAAUGACUGCUAAUACCGCAUAAGACCACAGCACCGCAUGGUGCAGGGGUAAAAACUCCGGUGGUACAGGAUGGACCCGCGUCUGAUUAGCUGGUUGGUGAGGUAACGGCUCACCAAGGCGACGACCAGUAGCCGGCUUGAGAGAGUGAACGGCCACAUUGGGACUGAGACACGGCCCAAACUCCUACGGGAGGCAGCAGUGGGGAAUAUUGCACAAUGGGGGAAACCCUGAUGCAGCAACGCCGCGUGAGUGAAGAAGUAUUUCGGUAUGUAAAGCUCUAUCAGCAGGGAAGAAAGUGACGGUACCUGACUAAGAAGCCCCGGCUAACUACGUGCCAGCAGCCG